rnacentral:lncRNA from 1 species
UGAUAUUAUUGUUCUUAGAUUUUAAUUUAUUAUAUUUUUUUAUUUUAAUUCUUAAAAUUAUUAUAAUCAAAUUCUACAAUCUAAUUUAAUUGCUUAAAUAUUGAUAAAUUAUUAGUGUGGAAGUAGUAUUAAAGUUUUCUUAUUAAUGAUGCGAUAAUAAUUAAAAUGCUAUAUUAUUUUUAUAUUAGUAAUUUGUCAAUAUUUAAUUAACUAAGUUGGAAUAUAGAAUUUGAUUGCAAUAAUUAGAAAAUUAGAGUCAGAAAUUAUAAUAAAAUUAAAAUUUGAGCACCAAAGUAUCACGCGCCUAUAGUUUAAGAACCAAAAGCGUAUUUUACACGCCAUCCGCCCAAAAAAAA